rnacentral:rRNA from 1 species
CCUACGGGAGGCAGCAGUGAGGAAUAUUGGUCAAUGGGCGGGAGCCUGAACCAGCCAAGCCGCGUGAGGGAAGAAGGUACAGCGUAUCGUAAACCUCUUUUGUCAGGGAACAAAGGCGGGGACUAGUCCCCGGAUGAGGGUACCUGAAGAAAAAGCAUCGGCUAACUCCGUGCCAGCAGCCGCGGUAAUACGGAGGAUGCGAGCGGUAUCCGGAUUUAUUGGGUUUAAAGGGUGCGUAGGCGGAUCGUUAAGUCAGUGGUAAAAUUGAGGGGCUCAACCCCUUCCCGCCAUUGAAACUGGCGUUCUUGAGUGGAAGAGAAGUAUGCGGAAUGCGUGGUGUAGCGGUGAAAUGCAUAGAUAUCACGCAGAACCCCGAUUGCGAAGGCAGCAUGCCGGCUUCCGACUGACGCUGAAGCACGAAAGCGUGGGGAUCGAACAGGAUUAGAUACCCUUGUAGUC